rnacentral:lncRNA from 1 species
UUUAACUUGUUUUAUUUAACCAACUAUCCUUGUGUUUUCAACUAUUGAAAAACACUUGGAUAUUUAUAAGCCAGUCCUUUGAUAAGUUAAUUUAAUAGGUUUUGUAGUAACCUUUUAUUUAUUUUUAUUACGCUUAGGUCCUUAGUUCAUGUUUAUUGUAACUUGUUGUUUUAACCCUGGAUUUCAGCAUAAUAAUCUUAUACUCCCCCCUCAAGCUUUGGAAUAUGCAUUGUGGAUUCCUAGCUUGACAGAGAAUGCUGAGAUCUCAUUCUCUCCUAGAGAUUUGGUGAAGAUAUCUGCAAGUUGGUAUUUAGUACCUACUUGUUUUAGCAAAAUUAUUCCUUUAUCUAUCAUUUCUCUAAUGGAAUGACAUGAGAUCUCUAUAUGCUUACUUCUCUCAUGAAAUACUGGAUUAUUAGCAAGGUAUAUUGCUGAUUUAUUGUCACAGUAUAGAGAAGUUGGCAUCUGUAUUUUCAACUUUAAAUCUUUAAAAAGUUGGUGUAGACAAAGCACUUCACAUUGUGCUUUACUGAUGGCUCUGUAUUCAGCCUCACAAGAUGAGAGUGAAACAGUAUUUUGCUUCUUGGAUUUCCAAGAAAUUAAUGACGUUCCUAAGAAUAUGCAAUAUCCUGAUAAUGAUUUUCUGCUAAUUGAGCAAGAAGCCCAAUCUGAGUCACAAUAUCCAUGAAGAUUCAUUUGAUUUUGACUCUUAUACAGGAUGCCUUGGCCAGGGGCAUUUUUGAGGUAUCUUAUCACCUUAAACAAAACUUGAAGGUGAAUUUCAUUGGGAUUUCCCAUGAACUGGCUCAGCCAAUGAACCGGGAAACUUAGGUCAGGUCUAGUGAUAUUCAAGUAUAUGAGUUUACCCACUAGUGACCUAUAUAGAGUUGGGUCUGUUAGAUCCUUUGCUUGUUCAUUUCUUAAAUUUACAUACCUCUCCAUAGGUACUUUUGAUGGCUUUGCAUCCAUUUGGCCACUUUCUUCUAGUAUGCCUAAUGCAUAUUUUCUUUGUGAUAUAUAUAUACCUUCUGAUGGGUAUGAGACCUCAAUUCCUAAGAAAUAGGACAAUUUUCCUAAAUCCUUAAUUUUGAAGUUUUUUUCAAUAUUUUUUUUUAUUAGAAACAUUUCUGUCUCAUUGUUCCCUGUAAUGAUAAUAUCAUCUACAUAUACCAGUAGGUAUAUCAUAUUAUCAUUGUUUGUUUUCACAAACAAUGAAUAAUCAGAAGGUGUUUGUACAAAACUCAUUUCAAGUAAAACUCCCUUCAACUUAGCAAACCAGUUUCUGGAUGCCUGUUUUAAGCCAUAGAGAGAUUUAUUUAGUUUACACACCCUUUUGUCUCCUUCACUGAGGAGCCCCUGGGGUGGUUUGAGAUAUACUUCUUCAUGAAGAUCUCCAUAGAGGAAGGCAUUAUUAACAUCUAGUUGAUAGAUGUUCCAUUUCUUAAUUGCUGAAAUUGCAAUUAUAGUUUUAAUUGUGGUCAUUUUGACUACUGGGGCAAAUGUUUCAUAGUAGUCAAAUCCUUCUUUUUGAGUGAACCCUUUUGCUACAAGUCUAGCCUUGUAUCUCUCUAUUUCACCAUUUGGCUUAUGCUUAAUUUUAAAAAUCCACUUGGAGCCUAUAAGCUUCCUAUCAUGAGGAAGUGUGGUUAAAGUCCAAGUUUCAUUUAAAAGAAGUGCAUCCAUUUCUUUCUUCAUUGCUUCUACCCAAUUUGGGUUCUUAGAAGCUUCUGAGAAGGUUUGAGGUUCAUCAUGAAUUGAUAUUUGAUGAAGAAAUUUUUUAUGAUUUUUUUUAAUUUUAUGGUAUGAUACUUGAUUACAUAUUGGGUAUUUCCCUCUUUUGUUGUUAUUUCCAUAUUCCUUGUCAUUUUCAAGAAAAAAAUCCUUGUAAGCUUCUGGAAUAUGGAUUACCCUGCCUGUUCUUGUUUUCUUUUCAAUUAUUUCUAUUGGGUUUUUUGAAAAUAUGCAGGGAACAUUUUCUUUUUGUUUAAGACAAUCUCCUGUAAUUUCAGGUGUAUUGUUCUGUUUUUCUAUUGAUGUUCCUAUAUCUGAUGAUCUUAUGUCAUCAUUCUGAACAUUUUCAGAAUAGAGGAAAGUUUGAUCAUUCUGAACAUUUGCUGAAUUUUUUCCAUUAUAUUCAGAAUUUUUGAUGUUUUGUGAGUUAUGAUUUAACUCAACAGAAUCAUGACUAGGUGUAUGAAUUAGUCCUAUAUCUGAUGAUCUUAUGUCAUCAUUCUGAACAUUUUCAGAAUAGAGGGAAGUUUGAUCAUUCUGAACAUUUACUGAAUUUUUUUUAUUAUAUUCAGAAUUUUUGAUAUUUUGUGAGUUAUGAUUUAACUCAACAGAAUCAUGACUAGGUGUAUGAAUUAGUGAAUCAUAUAAUUCAUACUGUCCUGGAUUCAUUUGAUCAUUUUUUGAUCUGUAUUCUGAGUUUUAAGCAGUAUUUCCAGAAUUUCUGGUAUUCUGUGAAUUGUGGUUUAACUCAAUACAUUUAUUGUUUUUUUUUUUGCUCACACUGAUAUUUUUCAUAUGUUUAGACAUAUGAACUUGUGAGUUAUAUUUUUCAGAUUGUUUUGGGUUUGUUUGAUCAUUUUUUGAACUAUUUUCUGAAUUAUUUUCCAGAAUGUAAUAUUCAUCAUUCCCUGAUCUUAUUUCCAGAACACUGGUUUCUUUUUUAUUUUUGUUUUGAUGAUGCCUUUUAUAGUCAUACCAUGACUUAUUUACAUCAUCAUGAUAUAAAAAAAUAUUAUUAUAGCAAUUUUGAAAUUUAUUUUCUUUUUGUGUUUCUUCUAGAUUAAGAUCAUCUUUGAAUGGGAAUAUUGACUCUCUAAAUGAGACAUCCCUAGAGACAAUGAAUUUUCUAUCUGAAACUCUUAAUAUAAGAUAUCCUUUAAUACCUUUGGGAUAUCCCAUAAAGAUCCCUUGACAAGUUUUUGGUGAAAACUUGUUUUCCAUUUGUGUGACUGAGGCAUAGCAUAGGCAACCAAAUGAUUUCAAAUUUUCGUAAUUUGGUAUUUUUUUAUGAAUUAUUUCAUAAGGUGUUUUGUUUUCUAAGGUCUUGGAGGGAAUUCUAUUAAUUAAAUGGGCUGCUGUUAGGAUACACUCCCCCCAAUAUUCCAAUGGAAUAUUUCCUUGAAAAUGUAGUGCUCUUGCAAUGUUCAAGAGAUGCCUAUGUUUUCUUUCUACCCUUGCAUUUUGGGCAGGUGUAUAGGGGCAUGAGAAUUGUUGAACAAUUCCAUGUUUUUCAGUCAUUUUUUUAAAAUUGUUAGAAGUGAAUUCUCCCCCAUUAUCACUUCUAAUAGUUUUGAUUUUGGUUUUGAACUGUGUUUUAACCAUUUUGUAAAACUUCUCAAUACAUUCUAUUGCCAUUGAUUUGUUUUUAAUUAGAUAUAUCCAAGUACCUCUACUUAGAUCUUCCACAAUAGUUAAGAAAUAAUUAAACCCAUCAUGGGUCAUUAUGGGAAAUUUUCCCCAUAUAUCUAUGUGGAUUAAAUCAAAAAUAUUUUCAGAUUUGGAACUACUAAUUGCAUAUUUGAGUUUAGCUUGCUUGGCUAAUGGACAUAUUCUACAAUCAUAUUGAAUCGAAUUUAUUUUAUUGAAAACUGAAUUUUUAUCAACAAUCUCAUUCCUACAAUCUGGAAUUUUUUUGUUCUUAUUACAAUCUGAACUAUCAUUAUUACAAUCUGUUUUUUUGUAUCUAAUUUUGUAUUGAGAAACUAAUGUCUUCAUUUUUUCAGAAGAAAUGUGUCCCAAUCUUUGAUGCCAAGUCUUGAAGUCAAUGGCUGAGUUUGCUAAAAAAUGAUGAGGGGUGAAAAAAUAUAGUCCAUCAGUAGACUCACCCUUGCCAAUCACUUUCUCGGAUUUGUUUUCCUGAAAUUGAAAACAAUGAUCAUUAAAUAUUACUUUAAUGUCAUUGUCUAAGGUUAACUUGCUUAUAGCUAUUAGAUUAACCUUAAAUUCAGGAAUAUACAACACAUUUUUUAAAAUCAGAUUUUCAGAUAUUUUUAUACAACCCAUUCCUUGAACCAUCAAUAUUUUGCCACUAGGUAUAGUCACAAAAUGGUUAUAUUCUUUAACUAAUGGGUUGGUGAAUAGAUGUAAAUUACCAGUCAUGUGUUGUGAUGCUCCGGUAUCUACUAUCCAUCUAUCAAUAUAAUUAUUUGUAUUGAAAGAAAAAGAAAAAUUAUUACCAGUGUUUGACUUUGUUGAAGAGAUAAGUUCCUUGAAUAAUUGGAUCUCUUCUUGACUUAGCACUAGUUGUUGACUACUGGAGGUAGUUGCUAGGUUUGCAAAUUCUGAAACAGUGGUAUUACUGCCCUGGUUCUUCUUUGUUUGAAUUUUCUUUUGAAAUUUUUCUUUUCCCGGUUUGCCUACUAAAUGAUAACACUUUUCCCUUGUAUGACCAUAAUACUUACAGUUAUCACAGUAGAAUCUAGUAUCGAGUUUCUUUCCAUUUUUAGAGUACAUACCCUUUGUUCCUUCUACUGGAUUCUUAUCUUUUACAUAAAAGGCAGAUUCAGUAUUUUUCUCAUUGGUGUGUUCUCUGAAUUUACAUCUCUGUUUUUCCUCUUGAAUAACUAAUCCUAGAACCUUAUUCAUGUUUGGUAAUUUUUCUAAUGAAAGAAUUUGGGUUCUAAGAUUAAAAAAGUUUUCAUUCAGUCCUAACAAGAACUGAUGAAUCAUAUCAUUCUCUUCUUUUUCUUGGUAGAGUUUCUUGCAUGACAUACAAAAUUUUUCCUUAAUUUCAUCAAUCUGUACCAAUUGAUCCCAAAUGGAUCUGAAUUUGUCAUAAAAUUCAGAUGAAGGCAAUGAUCCUUGUUGUAGACAACAUAGUUCGUAUUUAAUUUGAUUUAUCUUGGGAGCAUUCCCUUGUUUAUAUCUAUUCUCUAGAUCUAACCAUACUUGAUGGGCAUCAUUGGUAUACAUGAUAGUAGAUUGUAUUUGGGGAGAUACUGAAUUUAACAACCAUGCAAGAACUAAUCCAUUAACUAUCUUCCAUAUGUUAUAUUCCCUACUAGCAAAAUCUGUGGGCAUUGUAAUCUGUCCAGUAAUGAAAGCAUCCUUUCUUCUUGAAACCAAUGAGACUUUCAUCCCAUUGGACCAAGUUAUAUAGUUGGAUUCACCAACUAAUCUAUCUGGAACUAAUACUGCCCCCGGGUGAUCACCGGAGGUUAAAAAAAAUGGUGAUUCUGGAUUUUGUAAAGGAGAGAUGUACCUUUCCGAUUUGUGCCUUUUAAAAAAGGAACCUUGGUACAAACCUUCUUGAUAAUUGCUUGGUCGAGAUUUUGCUGUCGACCCAGAAGAGGAUUCGCGAGAUGCUGCUGGAGUCACUAUCGGAUUAGGCGGUUGUACAGCAGGAAGAGUUGCGGCUAGAUUUGCCUGAAGCAUUGCGGAAAUGGCUGGCUGGUUGACCGGAGGAGCGCCAGGACGAUUGACGGCUGAUACCAUAUUAUUUUCCUGCAUAGUAGGUGCCGCUGGUGACAAUGCAGAUGAUUCCUCAUACCUGGGAUGAGAGAAAUUUAAUGGGGUUGCCAUUCAGAAGCUAGGGUUUUCCGCCUGUAUGAAAAGGGGGCAACUAACUACUAAAACUGUCACUAAGAAGAAGAGUUGAGAGAGAGUGGUUUUAGUUAAUCACAAAUGAUGAUUAACCUUGUAUUGAAUUAAUUAUUAUCUGUUUAUCAAGUUAUACUUAUACAUUUGAUUAAUGAAUAAUUAACUGACUAAUCUCUCAACAGUUAGUUAACAUUAACUAAAACUAAUAUUAACUAAAAUCUAUUUCUGGGCCGGCUUCAUGCUGUGGCCUUUUUAUGAGCCCAAUCUGCUUUCUGGGAUAUUUCUGCAAGUACACAUGAGUUAUCCAUAAAUGAUAACCAAGUCCUUCAUUUAACUUGUUUUAUUUAACCAACUAUCCUUGUGUUUUCAACUAUUGAAAAACACUUGGAUAUUUAUAAGCCAGUCCUUUGAUAAGUUAAUUUAAUAGGUUUUGUAGUAACCUUUUAUUUAUUUUUAUUACGCUUAGGUCCUUAGUUCAUGUUUAUUGUAACUUGUUGUUUUAACCCUGGAUUUCAGCAUAAUAAUCUUAUAAGAACUUCCUUUACAUCAAUAAUCUUG